AAUCACGCGCAACCCUUACAGCAAGAGAUAGACUUGUUGCAUCACCGCACAUGAAUUGGCAGCACAACAAGCACACAAAAAAGACUAAGAGAAAAAAAAGAAAAAAAAAACAAAAGGGAGAGAAAGAGAUUUAAAAUGGAGAAGGAGGAUACCAAAAAGAAAAGGGAGAAAGAUGUCUAGAAUGGGUAAGUGGAAUCAAGAGGCUGAGCACGGCGAAAACAAAAAGCAUGGUCGGCUUUUUGGUGAUAGUGACGACGUCUCUGAAGCAAAAAUAAGCAAUCUCGGAUACUAAAAGGAAAUAAGUGGCUGGUCUUGUUGAUUGAAUAAACAAAUGGAUAUGAGUUUGCUCACACCAGGGAGGAAGGAAGGCGGAAGCACAAUCUCGAGUGCAAACAGUAUACUUUUUUUAUUAUUAUUAUUAUUAUUAUUAUUUUUUUUUUGUAAAUAUAAUGUAAUGGAAACUCAUAUAAAUAUAGACUCAAAAUAUGAAUCAUUUAUAAAA